rnacentral:rRNA from 1 species
UACGUAGGGGGCAAGCGUUGUCCGGAGUUACUGGGCGUAAAGCGCACGCAGGCGGUCUCUUAAGUUUGGAGUGACAGUUGGCGGCUUAACUGCCAAAGUGCUUCGAAAACUGAGAGACUUGAGGGCUUCAGAGGGACACGGAAUUCCGGGUGGAGUGGUGAAAUGCGUAGAGAUCCGGAGGAACACCAAAGGCGAAGGCAGUGUCCUGGAGAGUACCUGACGCUCAGGUGCGAAAGCCAGGGGAGCGAACGGG